AGUGGAUAAGAUGGCGCACGGGUGAGUAUCGCAUAUGAUAGACAUGCCCUUUAGUUUGGGAUAUGCCACUAGGAAAUGGUGAUAAAUACCAAAUACUAUCCCUACGGGGGAAAGAUUUAUCGCUAUAGAGAUUGGUCUAUGUCCUAUCAGCUUGUUGGUGAGGUAAAGGCUCACCAAGGCUAUGACGGGUAUCCGGCCUGAGAGGGUGAACGGACACACUGGAACUGAGACACGGUCCAGACUCCUACGGGAGGCAGCAGUAGGGAAUAUUGCUCAAUGGGCGCAAGCCUGAAGCAGCAACGCCGCGUGGAGGAUGAAGGUUUUAGGAUUGUAAACUCCUUUUGUCAGAGAAGAUC
rnacentral:rRNA from 1 species